rnacentral:lncRNA from 10 species
AGUUUGUUGGCGGCGCCUAGGCUGUAUCGCAGCGAGAGCGUUUUUGCCUGUGGAGAGCCGGCCGACGGGAGCCGCGGCGGAGCCUGUUGAGCUCGCGCGGGCUGCCGGGAGUGGUCUCUGAGGCGGCGGCGGCGGCGGGGAUCGUCUCCGGCAACCGCGGCCUUCAGUGUCACAGCGUGGCCUUGCUUGUCUGCCACAGCGGGAGCUAAGCCGGCCCUGGGCCAGCACUCCGAGAGGUGGAAGGGGCCCUGCCAGCUCUGGGGAGCAGCAGCCUUGGGCUGUUCUGAGCUUUAGGCAAGAGAAGAGAAGCAUCUCUUGCAUCCGUGCCCCUGGGGGCCUCUUCAGCUUUGCAGUGGUUUGUGGGAAGACAUACCUCCCAGAGGGGCAUGGACUGCCACCAGGACUGACCCUGGCGUCGGGGAGAAGGACACUUGCAGAGCCUUGAGAUCACCUGUUUGGCAGGUCCUGGACUGGGGCCGGGCAGGCAGGGGCAGGGAGGCGCCCCGGGUGGGCUUUGGGGCUGCGGCACUGCCACACAUCCUUUCCCU